CCUACGGGGGGCAGCAGUGGGGAAUAUUGCACAAUGGGGGAAACCCUGAUGCAGCGACGCCGCGUGAGUGAAGAAGUAUUUCGGUAUGUAAAGCUCUAUCAGCAGGGAAGAAAAAAGACGGUACCUGACUAAGAAGCACCGGCUAACUACGUGCCAGCAGCCGCGGUAAUACGUGGGGGGGAAGCGUUAUCCGGAUUUACUGGGUGUAAAGGGUGCGUAGACGGCAUGGUAAGUCUGAAGUGAAAGCCCGUGGCUCAACCGCGGAACUGCUUUGGAGACUGUUAAGCUGGAGUAAUGGAGAGGCAAGCGGAAUUCCUAGUGUAGCGGUGAAAUGCGUAGAUAUUAGGAGGAACACCAGAGGCGAAGGCGGCUUGCUGGACAGAGACUGACGUUGAGGCUCGAAAGCGUGGGGAGCAAACAGGAUUAGAUACCCUUGUAGUC
rnacentral:rRNA from 1 species